UACGAAGGGGGCUAGCGUUACUCGGAUUGACUGGGCGUAAAGGGCGCGUAGGCGGUUUGUCCAGUCAGACGUGAAAUUCCUGGGCUCAACCUGGGGGCUGCGUUUGAUACGUGCGGACUUGAGUUCGGAAGAGGGUCGUGGAAUUCCCAGUGUAGAGGUGAAAUUCGUAGAUAUUGGGAAGAACACCGGUGGCGAAGGCGGCGACCUGGUCCGAUACUGACGCUGAGGCGCGAAAGCGUGGGGAGCAAACAGG
rnacentral:rRNA from 1 species